rnacentral:ribozyme from 1 species
AAAUUUUUUUUUUUUUUUUUUUUUUUUUUUUUUCAAAUGAAUCGAAA